rnacentral:lncRNA from 1 species
GCCUAUAUAAUAUAUUUUUACAGUCGAAGGGUCAAAGGCAUAUUGCUAUAAAAUGUCAACACUCACCAUCAUCGUCUUCAAGAGAUAAAUAUUCCAUUCAUAUCUCUAAUUCCUCGCACGAUUCAGACAAAACACUUCCCAUGUACAGCAAAGCACCGCUAUCGUCCAAAACAUCCACGAUUUCUUCCAUAUUCGACGAAUUUUUAGGUUUUCGAGCACAUUUGCAAGUUUUCGAGUGUUUUUGCAAGUUUUCGAGUCACGAUUUCACAGUCCCUCAAAUCAGCGCUGCUCAAAUUACGCGACCGCGCGUACAAAUGAGGGACUGUGGAAGAGUCAGAUC